rnacentral:ncRNA from 1 species
CGAAAAACGAUGAGAGGGACGAGUACAAUUUCCCUUUUUACCAAGCGAGUCAGGGAUGGUGGGAGCCUGAUUAAAAAGGAAAUUGGAAAAUCACCCUCGAGUUCCCCGCUGAACGGGAAAACCCAAGUAGGCGGAGGCGUCCAUUUCACGUUACGAAAUCAGAGUGGACAUUUCAUGUCUAUUUGGGUGGUACCGCGGGAACCUUCUCGUCCCAAGC